UACGAAGGGGGCUAGCGUUGUUCGGAAUUACUGGGCGUAAAGCGCACGUAGGCGGACAUUUAAGUCAGGGGUGAAAUCCUGGAGCUCAACUCCAGAACUGCCUUUGAUACUGGGAGUCUUGAGUUCGGGAGAGGUGAGUGGAACUGCGAGUGUAGAGGUGAAAUUCGUAGAUAUUCGCAAGAACACCAGUGGCGAAGGCGGCUCACUGGCCCGAUACUGACGCUGAGGUGCGAAAGCGUGGGGAGCAAACAGG
rnacentral:rRNA from 1 species